AUUGAACGCUGGCGGCAGGCCUAACACAUGCAAGUCGAGCGAGCGGCGGACGGGUGAGUAAUGUAUGGGGAUCUGCCCGAUGGAGGGGGAUAACUACUGGAAACGGUAGCUAAUACCGCAUACUAUCAGAUGUGCCCAUAUGGGAUUAGCUAGUAGGUGGGGUAAUGGCUCACCUAGGCGACGAUCCCUAGCUGGUCUGAGAGGAUGAUCAGCCACACUGGAACUGAGACACGGUCCAGACUCCUACGGGAGGCAGCAGUGGGGAAUAUUGCACAAUGGGCGCAAGCCUGAUGCAGCCAUGCCGCGUGUAUGAAGAAGGCCUUAGGGUUGUAAAGCACUUUCAGUGGGGAGGCGUUACCGACAGAAGAAGCACCGGCUAACUCCGUGCCAGCAGCCGCGGUAAUUC
rnacentral:rRNA from 1 species